rnacentral:lncRNA from 1 species
UUGUUGCGUUCUUGAGCGUAUCUGUUUACUCAUAUCUACUCUAUUAAGAGAGUCUUGUUUAAGUGAGUGCUAAGUGUUUUAUACACUUGAAGGGAUGUGUUAGUCCUUUGUAUUGUAAGAAGGAACUAGUGUUUCCUUUGGUUGAAGUCUUGGAGUGUUGUAUCUUCGAGCAAAGGUUGUUGAGGCUUGUGUCCUCAGUUUGUAAAGGUUUGUUGAGCACCCGUAAGC